rnacentral:misc_RNA from 1 species
UGACAAAUGAUGAAAUGACUACAUUAAAGAGGCUGGGACGACCCUUACCUUGCCAUUUUGCGUUAGGUAGAAAUAGGAAACUCCAAGGAUUGGCUUCUUCGAUUGUCAAGCUUUGGGAAAAAUGUGAGAUUGCUAAAAUUGCAGUUAAGAGAGGAGUGCAGAACACUAACAGUGAGAUGAUGGCUGAAGAGUUAAAGUGGCUGACCGGAGGAACUCUGCUUUCAC